rnacentral:lncRNA from 1 species
GAGAGCAUGGAACGAUAGCUACAUACUGCCCCCAGCGCAGUUGUCUCCAACCCGGGAGCGUGCGCCAGCGCCAUCUCGUGGAAUGCCCAGGCAGUGGCAGAAUUUGUUUUCCUCCUCAUCAAACGGUGCACUAAUGGCGAGCCACAACUGGAGGCGCUGCCCUCUGUGCUUCCUUAUUGAGGCAGGCUAUCUAGGAACGCGAAGUUACGAAAAACAGGCGUUUUCCCAAAGAGAUUACUUGUGCGUAUCGUGUAAAAGUACU